rnacentral:rRNA from 1 species
AGAGCGAACGCUGGCGGCAGGCCUAAUACAUGCAAGUCGAACGGAUCCUUCGGGAUUAGUGGCGGACGGGUGAGUAACACGUGGGAACGUGCCCUUUGGUUCAGAACAACUCAGGGAAACUUGAGCUAAUACUGGAUAAGCCCUUCGGGGGAAAGAUUUAUCGCCAUUGGAGCGGCCCGCGUCUGAUUAGCUAGUUGGUAGGGUAAAGGCCUACCAAGGCUUCGAUCAGUAGCUGGUCUGAGAGGAUGAUCAGCCACACUGGGACUGAGACACGGCCCAGACUCCUACGGGAGGCAGCAGUAGGGAAUCUUGCGCAAUGGGCGAAAGCCUGACGCAGCCAUGCCGCGUGAAUGAUGAAGGUCUUAGGAUUAGUAAAAUUCUUUCAGCGGGACGAUAAUGACGGUACCGCAGAAGAACGCCCGGCUACUUCGCGCCAGCAGCCGC